rnacentral:rRNA from 1 species
AUGUCUCAGAUUAGCCAUGCAUGUCUCAGUAUAAGCUUCUAUACGGCGAAACUGCGAAUGGCUCAUUAAAACAGUUAUAGUUUAUUUGGUGGUCAGCAAUUACAUGGAUAACCGUGGUAAUUCUAGAGCUAAUACAUGCGCCCAAACCCGACUUCGUGGAAGGGUUGUGUUUAUUAGAUACAGAACCAACCCAGGCUCCGCCUGGCCUUGAGGUGAUUCAUAAUAACCGAACGAAUCGCAUGGCUAUGCCGGCGAUAGACCAUUCAAGUUUCUGACCUAUCAGCUAUCGUCGGUAGGGUAUUGGCCUACCGUGGCAAUGACGGGUAACGGAGAAUUAGGGUUCGAUUCCGGAGAGGGAGCCUGAGAAACGGCUACCACAUCUAAGGAAGGCAGCAGGCGCGCAAAUUACCCAAUCCUGACGCAGGGAGGUAGUGACAAGAAAUAACAAUACAGGGCAUACAUGUCUUGUAAUUGGAAUGAGUAAACUUUAAAUCACUUUA